rnacentral:rRNA from 1 species
UAACGCGUGGGCAACCUGCCCCAUACAGGGGGAUAACNGCCGGAAACGGCUGCUAAAACCGCAUAAGCGCACAAGGGCCGCAUGGCCUGGUGUGAAAAACUCCGGUGGUAUGGGAUGGGCCCGCGUCUGAUUAGCUAGUUGGCGGGGGAGAGGCCCACCAAGGCGACGAUCAGUAGCCGACCUGAGAGGGUGGCCGGCCACAUUGGGACUGAGACACGGCCCAAACUCCUACGGGAGGCAGCAGUGGGGAAUAUUGCACAAUGGGGGAAACCCUGAUGCAGCGACGCCGCGCGAGCGAAGAAGUAUUUCGGUAUGUAAAGCUCUAUCAGCAGGGAAGAAAAAUGACGGUACCUGAGUAAGAAGCACCGGCUAAAUACGUGCCAGCAGCCGCGGUAAUACGUAUGGUGCAAGCGUUAUCCGGAUUUACUGGGUGUAAAGGGAGCGCAGGCGGUGCGGCAAGUCUGAUGUGAAAGCCCGGGGCUCAACCCCGGGACUGCAUUGGAAACUACCGAACUAGAGUGUCGGAGAGGUAAGUGGAAUUCCUAGUGUAGCGGUGAAAUGCGUAGAUAUUAGGAGGAACACCAGUGGCGAAGGCGGCUUACUGGACGAUAACUGACGCUGAGGCUCGAAAGCGUGGGGAGCAAACAGGAUUAGAUACCCUGGUAGU